rnacentral:lncRNA from 1 species
CCCAUGGAAUGACUCUGCCUAGAGGCAAAUAAAGAUGAACAUGUUCAACUGAUUGAUGAGAAGCACAUCCAGGCCCAGGAUUCUUUCUACUACUCUGGGACUCAAGCAGAUACAUGGCUUCUGUUCUUGAGGAAAUUGAGAAUGUAGAAGGAUGCAAACAUUCUAGACAUAAACACGAACCCACUCACCCAAAAAGUACAUGAUGAACACCUACAGUAUGCUAGGCAGGCCCAGGACUGGUCUUUCUCCACUGUCCAGGCAGUUUCUGAAGAGACCGCACUACCUAACCGAGUGAUUACUUCAGGACUUGAAAUAGCUUUUUUCCUGUCCCAGAUAUGACACAGUCACUUCCUCAGUAGAGCCAUCACUCCAAGAGGAACAGGACGUCCUUGUAACGGAGCCAGGAAGGUCACAUGAUCAGACAGCCGGGGGCCUCCUGGGACCUCGUUUCCCCUUAAGCUGUUGGCAAGGACUUGUCUAUGAAAGUCUGUCUAUGAGAGGCCCUGGCAAGCCAUCCCGAACCUACCCUCCUAUAGGGUUUCAGUCCAAAGCAAUUUCUGCAGGGAAUAAACUUUUGAUGAAU